rnacentral:tRNA from 1 species
UUAAAGAUAAGCUAAAUAAGCUAAUGAGUUCAUACCUCAUUUAUAUAGGUUCAAUCCUUUUUUUUAAA